rnacentral:rRNA from 1 species
UCUCAGAUUGAACGCUGGCGGCAGGCCUAACACAUGCAAGUCGAGCGGUAACACAAGGGAGCUUGCUCCUGAGGUGACGAGCGGCGGACGGGUGAGUAAUGCCUAGGUAUCUGCCCAGUCGAGGGGGAUAACAGUUGGAAACGACUGCUAAUACCGCAUACGCCCUACGGGGGAAAGGAGGGGACCUUCGGGCCUUUCGCGAUUGGAUGAACCUAGGUGGGAUUAGCUAGUAGGUGGGGUAAUGGCUCACCUAGGCGACGAUCCCUAGCUGGUCUGAGAGGAUGAUCAGCCACACUGGAACUGAGACACGGUCCAGACUCCUACGGGAGGCAGCAGUGGGGAAUAUUGCACAAUGGGCGAAAGCCUGAUGCAGCCAUGCCGCGUGUAUGAAGAAGGCCUUCGGGUUGUAAAGUACUUUCAGCGAGGAGGAAAGCUCAAUUGUUAAUAGCAGUUGGGUGUGACGUUACUCGCUGAAGAAGCACCGGCUAACUUCGUGCCAGCAGCCGCGGUAAUACGAGGGGUGCAAGCGUUAAUCGGAAUUACUGGGCGUAAAGCGUACGCAGGCGGUUUGUUAAGCGAGAUGUGAAAGCCCCGGGCUCAACCUGGGAACUGCAUUUCGAACUGGCAAACUAGAGUCCUGUAGAGGGGGGUAGAAUUUCA